UGGUGCUUUCUCAAACACCACGAAGUCCUGCCCAUUCCAAGUGGAGGAGAUCGCCAGGGGCGCAAUGACGAUGGCUGGGUGUCCCA
rnacentral:SRP_RNA from 1 species